CUCAGAUCAUGUAAGAUUUUAAUGAUCGAACAGAUCAAAAUUUUAAACUUUUGCAUUUAAAUUUUAUCUUAAUCCAACAUCGAGGUCGCAAACUUUUUUUUUUAUUUGAGCUAAAAAAAAAUAUUACGCUGUUAUCCCUAAGGUAAUUUUUUCUUAUAAUCAUUAUUAAUGGAUCAUUUAAUCAUUUAUUUAUGUUUAAUUUUUAAAAAAAGUUAAUUUAAUUUUUCUAUCACCCCAAUAUAAUAAUUAAUUUUAUUUUAAUAAAAAUUUUUAUAUAAUUUUAAAAUAAAAAUAAAUAUAAAACUCUAUAGGGUCUUCUCGUCUUUUAAAAUUAAUUUAGCUUUUUAACUAAAAAAUAAACUUCUAAAUAUAAUUAAGAGACAGUUUAUAUUUCAUCAAAUCUUUCAUACAAGUUUCCAAUUAAAAAACUAUUGAUUAUGCUACCUUUGUACAGUCAUUAUACUGCAGCCCUUUAAUAAUUAUCAGUGGGCAGAUUAGACCUUAAAUUAUAAUCAAAAAGACAUGUUUUUG
rnacentral:rRNA from 1 species